UCAUUAAACAAAUUUAAGUUCCCACUUUUGAUCAAUGGUUAAUUCACAAUAAUGCAUAUUCGGUUUCCGGGUUGGAUUCGAGUCACGACUGCAUUAUGUAUAAGAACGUAUCGUUUCCAGGAAAACGUUACUAGUGUUUAUAUUAUAUACGUAUGUUGUUUAAUUUGCUUUUAAAACGUAAGCAACAUUCGCGAUUACAUAGUAUAAUAAUAGUCACAAACGAUUGCAGAAGUCUCACUACGAGUACGCAAUUUUCACCGGACUGCGCGCAUAAAUAUACAAAACGUCGGUGUAGAUAUAUACGUUUUACGUCUGUUGACAUCCGACCUUUUUCUUCACACCCGUACGAUUUACAUCCUACAAAUCGUCUGUAUUAUCAUUUUUUUUAAAUAUCAUAUAAUAUGUAAAUUUCGCAACGUUCUAUAAAUUCUGUACGUAACUGUUUUCCGGAGGAUUAACUUUUGCGCGAGUCUGUAAUUCGAACCACCUUAUACCAUGUUUAAUAUCGUUUUUUUACGCGUACGUAUGCGUUAUAAUAAUAAUAUGUACG